AAGAGUUCUAUAACUCCCAAACCCAUGUGAACAUACCUUACGUUGCCUCGGCAGGUCGUGCCUACCCCGUAGUGCCCUACCUUGUAGUAGGACCUACUCGGUAGGCGCGGGUAAGCCUGCCGGCGGCCCACGAAACUCUGUUUAGUAUUGAAUUCUGAACCUAUAACUAAAUAAGUUA
rnacentral:misc_RNA from 1 species